UUAAAUCUGUUUUUAUAAUUUUCCAAUGCAUGAAAGUAUUUUGUGUUGUUAUCUCCCUCAUUGACCCACUUAGAUCUCAAUCUCCAGAACCAAUAUGUUUCCUCUAUUAUGAGCGAUUCUUCGAAUUCCUUUCUCAAACUAUCUCUUUCCAGUUUUUGUUUUCCUCCAUUCUGAGCAAUUCUUCAAAUUCCUUUCUCAAACUAUCUCUUUCCAGUUUUUGUUGUCCAGUAAGGCUCCCCAUUAAGUUGUUCAACGGAAUUCAAGGCUUCUAUCCAAUCGGAGACACUUCAAACCAAAUCUGUCCUUACUCCACUUCUUAACUCCAUACUCUCAAUGAUUUUAAUUUUUGU
rnacentral:lncRNA from 1 species